ACUAUUUUGUCAGAUUUAAUGAAUUAAUUUUAGGGGUUAAUUAUAUAUAAGGUUUAUAUAGGUAGUA
rnacentral:tRNA from 1 species